rnacentral:lncRNA from 1 species
UGGAAUUUAAAAAACUAUGAUAUAUUAUAUUUCACUUUCAAAGUUAAGCACAACACCUAAAACAUAUUAUAACAUUUAGACUCAAAUAUUUGGAUACAUGCAUUAUUGUCGAGCUAUGGUGGCUCGUACACUUUUUAUGGUGGAAUAAGUGGCCCAUUCCAAGCUACCACACAAGAUUAAUCCGUUAAAACACCUUUUGUCCCAGGUAAAGGCCCCCAGACUAGGAUCUCAUAUUACUCUCACCACAUGACCCCUCUCUACUUCAGAAUUGAUGACUCCUCUCUACUUGAGAAUUGAUGACCCCUCUCUACUUGAGAAUUGAUGACCAUUAGAGUGUCAGAACAACCCCGAAAACCGAGCUCUUACAAUAAUACAUACAGUACUUGAAACAACCAUCAAGAAAUUCACAUUAGAAACUUUUUUCAAACUAUACUUACAAACAUACAUAAUUUCAUGCAUAAACUGCAUCACAAAUAAAGGGUUAGGAGUGCUCAUAUUUCAACUACCUCCAUGGACUCCACUGACUCGAGAUCUUGUACUAUUCUCUGCAUCCUUUUCUCUGUAUCAUUCAGUUUCAUGGACUUGUUCAAUGAGCAUGGGAUGGAUCUCUACAUCCUCCACCAUCACGGAUCAUGGCGCUUCCAUCACCAACCUUGGAACCAAACACCAAAACGCUAACCCAGGUUGCAUCCUCUAGAUUUGUCACAUAUAAUGGGGGGUCCACCACCAACCUUUCAACCUUCAGCUUCGUCACACAUCAUGGCGCUAUAACCACGAAGCUUGCAACCCAAAUGGCUCCAAAGGAACCAAAUACACCCACUCUAGAACCAAAUACAAUGUCCAACGUGGAGACCAAACUGCCAUGGAACUGAAUGCAAUGCCUGGGAACCAAAUACACCUAUUGUGAAUAAUGGCGAACCGAAUACAAGUUCCUGUGUUUUUCUUCCUACGCCUGGAACCGAAUACGGAUUCUAUGGAACCGAAUACACCUGGAAAAAUUUUGAUUGUUCUUCAUCUUCUUCAGCUUCAAACACUCGUGUUCAUCUUCAACCACUUUCUUCUUCAUCUUCAUAUGACCAUCAACCUCAUCUUCUUCAUCUAUCAUCAACCCUACAACGUAAAAAACAACAAAAACUUGGCUAAAGAACAUUACUCUCAUAUUAACCUCACCUCAACUUUCUAUAAUUCCCCAAUGUAUCAUUAUAUUAACUCAUUCUUCUGCCUCAAUUAAGACAACAACCAACCAC